rnacentral:rRNA from 1 species
ACGAACGCUGGCGGCGUGGAUAAGACAUGCAAGUCGAACGAGAGAAUUGCUAGCUUGCUAAUAAUUCUCUAGUGGCGCACGGGUGAGUAACACGUGAGUAACCUGCCCCCGAGAGCGGGAUAGCCCUGGGAAACUGGGAUUAAUACCGCAUAGUAUCGAAAGAUUAAAGCAGCAAUGCGCUUGGGGAUGGGCUCGCGGCCUAUUAGUUAGUUGGUGAGGUAACGGCUCACCAAGGCGAUGACGGGUAGCCGGUCUGAGAGGAUGUCCGGCCACACUGGAACUGAGACACGGUCCAGACACCUACGGGUGGCAGCAGUCGAGAAUCAUUCACAAUGGGGGAAACCCUGAUGGUGCGACGCCGCGUGGGGGAAUGAAGGUCUUCGGAUUGUAAACCCCUGUCAUGUGGGAGCAAAUUAAAAAGAUAGUACCACAAGAGGAAGAGACGGCUAACUCUGUGCCAGCAGCCGCGGUAAUACAGAGGUCUCAAGCGUUGUUCGGAAUCACUGGGCGUAAAGCGUGCGUAGGCUGUUUCGUAAGUCGUGUGUGAAAGGCGCGGGCUCAACCCGCGGACGGCACAUGAUACUGCGAGACUAGAGUAAUGGAGGGGGAACCGGAAUUCUCGGUGUAGCAGUGAAAUGCGUAGAUAUCGAGAGGAACACUCGUGGCGAAGGCGGGUUCCUGGACAUUAACUGACGCUGAGGCACGAAGGCCAGGGGAGCAAAAGGGAUUAGAUACCCCUGUAGUCCUGGCAGUAAACGGUGCACGCUUGGUGUGCGGGGAAUCGACCCCCUGCGUGCCGGAGCUAACGCGUUAAGCGUGCCGCCUGGGGAGUACGGUCGCAAGAUUAAAACUCAAAGAAAUUGACGGGGACCCGCACAAGCGGUGGAGUAUGUGGCUUAAUUCGAUGCAACGCGAAGAACCUUACCUGGGCUUGACAUGUAAUGAACAACAUGUGAAAGCAUGCGACUCUUCGGAGGCGUUACACAGGUGCUGCAUGGCCGUCGUCAGCUCGUGUCGUGAGAUGUUUGGUUAAGUCCAGCAACGAGCGCAACCCCUGUUGCCAGUUACCAGCACGUGAAGGUGGGGACUCUGGCGAGACUGCCCAGAUCAACUGGGAGGAAGGUGGGGACGACGUCAGGUCAGUAUGGCCCUUAUGCCCAGGGCUGCACACGUACUACAAUGCCCAGUACAGAGGGGGCCGAAGCCGCGAGGCGGAGGAAAUCCUAAAAACUGGGCCCAGUUCGGACUGUAGGCUGCAACCCGCCUACACGAAGCCGGAAUCGCUAGUAAUGGCGCAUCAGCUACGGCGCCGUGAAUACGUUCCCGGGUCUUGUACACACCGCCCGUCACAUCAUGGAAGCCGGUCGCACCCGAAGUAUCUGAAGCCAACCGCAAGGAGGCAGGGUCCUAAGGUGAGACUGGUAACUGGGAUG